rnacentral:tRNA from 1 species
GCUUAGUUGGUAAAGCACAAAGCUCUUAACCUUGUGGAUGUGAGUUCAAGCCCCAU